rnacentral:rRNA from 1 species
GGUUGCGAUCAUACCAGCACUAAUGCAUCGGAUCCCAUCAGAACUCCGCAGUUAAGCGUGCUUGGGGGAGAGUAGUACUAGGAUGGGUGACCCCCUGGGAAGUCCUCGUGUUGCAACCC